rnacentral:rRNA from 1 species
GAUCCUGGCUCAGGAUGAACGCUAGCUACAGGCUUAACACAUGCAAGUCGAGGGGCAGCGGGAUUGAAGCUUGCUUCAAUUGCCGGCGGCCGGCGCACGGGUGAGUAACGCGUAUCCAACCUUCCGUACACUCAGGGAUAGCCUUUCGAAAGAAAGAUUAAUACCUGAUGGUAUGAUGAGAUUGCAUGGUAUCAUCAUUAAAGAUUUAUCGGUGUACGAUGGGGAUGCGUU